AGUGAACGCUGGCGGUAGGCCUAACACAUGCAAGUCGAACGGCAGCACAGGAGAGCUUGCUCUCUGGGUGGCGAGCGGCGGACGGGUGAGGAAUACAUCGGAAUCUACUCUGUCGUGGGGGAUAACGUAGGGAAACUUACGCUAAUACCGCAUACGACCUACGGGUGAAAGCGGGGGAUCUUCGGACCUUGCGCGAUUGAAUGAGCCGAUGUCGGAUUAGCUAGUUGGCGGGGUAAAGGCCCACCAAGGCGACGAUCCGUAGCUGGUCUGAGAGGAUCAGCAGCUGCACUGGAACUGAGACACGUUCCAGACUCCUACGGGAAGCAGCAGUGGGGAAUAUUGGACAAUGGGCGCAAGCCUGAUCCAGCCAUACCGCGUGUGUGAAGAAGGCCUUCGGGUUGUAAAGCCCUUUUGUUGGGAAAGAAAUCCAGCUGGCUAAUACCCGGUUGGGAUGACGGUACCCAAAGAAUAAGCACCGGCUAACUUCGUGCAAGCAGCCGCCGUAA
rnacentral:rRNA from 1 species